GAUGAACGCUGGCGGCGUGCCUAAUACAUGCAAGUCGAGCGAACGGACGAGAAGCUUGCUUCUCUGAUGUUAGCGGCGGACGGGUGAGUAACACGUGGAUAACCUACCUAUAAGACUGGGAUAACUUCGGGAAACCGGAGCUAAUACCGGAUAAUAUUUUGAACCGCAUGGUUCAAAAGUGAAAGACGGUCUUGCUGUCACUUAUAGAUGGAUCCGCGCUGCAUUAGCUAGUUGGUAAGGUAACGGCUUACCAAGGCAACGAUGCAUAGCCGACCUGAGAGGUGGAUCGGCCACACUGGAACUGAGACACGGUCAAGACUCCUACGGGAGGCAGCAGUAGGGAAUCUUCCGCAAUGGGCGAAAGCCUGACGGAGCAACGCCGCGUGAGUGAUGAAGGUCUUCGGAUCGUAAAACUCUGUUAUUAGGGAAGAACAUAUGUGUAAGUAACUGUGCACAUCUUGACGGUACCUAAUCAGAAAGCCACGGCUAACUACGU
rnacentral:rRNA from 1 species